UAGGGAAUCUUCGGCAAUGGGGGGAACCCUGACCGAGCAACGCUGCGUGAGUGAAGAAGGUUUUCGGAUCGUAAAGCUCUGUUGUUAAGGAAGAACGUGUGUGAGAGUGGAAAGUUCACACAGUGACGGUACUUAACCAGAAAGGGACGGCUAACUACGUGCCAGUAGCCGCGGUAAUACGUAGGUCCCGAGCGUUGUCCGGAUUUAUUGGGCGUAAAGCGAGCGCAGGCGGUUAGAUAAGUCUGAAGUGAAAGGCAGUGGCUCAACCAUUGUAGGCUUUGGAAACUGUUUAACUUGAGUGCAGAAGGGGAGAGUGGAAUUCCAUGUGUAGCGGUGAAAUGCGUAGAUAUAUGGAGGAACACCGGUGGCGAAAGCGGCUCUCUGGUCUGUAACUGACGCUGAGGCUCGAAAGCGUGGGGAGCGAACAGGAUUAGAUACCCUGGUAGUCCACGCCGUAAACGAUGAGUGCUAGGUGUUAGGUCCUUUCCGGGACUUAGUGCCGCAGCUAACGCAUUAAGCACUCCGCCUGGGGAGUACGACCGCAAGGUUG
rnacentral:rRNA from 1 species